GAUGAACGCUGGCGGCGUGCCUAAUACAUGCAAGUCGAGCGAAGCGGGGGCGGGGGAGUAACACGUGGAUAACCUCCUAUAAGACUGGGAUAACUUCGGGAAACCGGAGCUAAACCGGAUACUUAUCUAUGGAUCCACUGUGCAUUAGCUAGUUGGUAAGGUAACGGCUUACCAAGGCCACGACGCAUAGCCGAACUGAGAGGGUGAUCGGCCACACUGGAACUGAGACACGGUCCAGACUCCUACGGGAGGCAGCAGUAGGGAAUCUUCCGCAAUGGGCGAAAGCCUGACGGAGCAACGCCGCGUGAGUGAUGAAGGUCUUCGGAUCGUAAAGCUCUGUUAUUAGGGAAGCGGUACCUAAUCAGAAAGCCACGGCUAACUACGUGCCAGCAGCCGCGGUAAUUC
rnacentral:rRNA from 1 species